GAUUAAAUGGCUGAAGUUUUAGGCAAUAGACUGUAAAUCUAUUUAUAAGGAAUUUUCCUUUUUAAUCA
rnacentral:tRNA from 1 species